rnacentral:rRNA from 1 species
UACGAAGGGGGCUAGCGUUGCUCGGAAUUACUGGGCGUAAAGGGCGCGUAGGCGGACAUUUAAGUCAGAGGUGAAAGCCACUGGCUCAACUAGGGAGAGUCAUUCGAUACUGUUCGACUCGAAGGCAGGAGAGGGAAGUGGAAUUCCGGGUGUAGUGGUGAAAUGCGUAGAUAUCCGGAGGAACACCAGUGGCGAAGGCGACUUUCUGGCCUGUUCUUGACGCUGAGGCGCGAAAGCGAGGGGAGCAAACGGG